rnacentral:rRNA from 1 species
AUUGAACGCUGGCGGAAUGCUUUACACAUGCAAGUCGAACGGCAGCACGGGGCAACCUGGUGGCGAGUGGCGAACGGGUGAGUAAUACAUCGGAACGUGCCCAAUCGUGGGGGAUAACGUAGCGAAAGUUACGCUAAUACCGCAUACGAUCUACGGAUGAAAGCGGGGGAUCGCAAGACCUCGCGCGAAUGGAGCGGCCGAUGUCAGAUUAGGUAGUUGGUGGGGUAAAGGCUCACCAAGCCAACGAUCUGUAGCUGGUCUGAGAGGACGACCAGCCACACUGGAACUGAGACACGGUCCAGACUCCUACGGGAGGCAGCAGUGGGGAAUUUUGGACAAUGGGCGCAAGCCUGAUCCAGCCAUUCCGCGUGCAGGAUGAAGGCCUUCGGUUGUAACUGCUUUGUACGGUAACGAAACGGCGAGCUCUAAUACAGUUUGCUAAUGACGGUACCGCAAGAAUAAGCACCGGCUAACUACGUAGCCAGCAGCCGCGGUAAU